CGCGUAGGCGGCCACCGCAAGUCGACUGUGAAAUCUCCGGGCUUAACCCGGAACGGUCAGCCGAUACUGCGGGGCUAGAGUGCAGAAGGGGCAGCUGGAAUUCUCGGUGUAGCGGUGAAAUGCGUAGAUAUCGAGAGGAACACCUGCGGCGAAGGCGGGUCUCUGGACAGUUCCUGACACUGAGACACGAAGGCCAGGGGAGCAAACG
rnacentral:rRNA from 1 species